UGUUGUCUGUUUGGCUAAAUUCUGGUCUGCAUGCAUGUAGAUUGUUUACCUCUCUCUCAGCGGCGGGUGGUUUGGCCAUCGCGGUAACAGGGAAUGGGCUUUUCUUUACAAAAUCGGGGACCUCAGUCAGCAAAGUGUCGAAUGGGAAACCGAUCAUGGAAAUGGAUGGAGGGCCCUGAGGAAAUUUCAUAUCUGAUGUGCCAUUCAUCAGUCCAGUGCAGAAGUCAUAAAUUAUGCUUCCUAUUACCGGAUCGGUGUAUCCCAGUUACAAUCCCCCCUUUUUUUCCUCCCUUCUCUCUGUUCCUGCUAUCAAGUUUAUCAGUAAAAAAACUUGAAACUGUG